rnacentral:rRNA from 1 species
AGAACGAACGCUGGCGGCAGGCUUAACACAUGCAAGUCGAGCGCCGUAGCAAUACGGAGCGGCAGACGGGUGAGUAACGCGUGGGAACAUACCCUUCGGUUCGGAAUAAUUCAGGGAAACUUGGACUAAUACCGGAUACGGACGAGAGUCGAAAGAUUUAUCGCCGAAGGAUUGGCCCGCGUUCGAUUAGCUAGUUGGUGUGGUAACGGCGCACCAAGGCGACGAUCGAUAGCUGGUCUGAGAGGAUGAUCAGCCACAUUGGGACUGAGACACGGCCCAAACUCCUACGGGAGGCAGCAGUGGGGAAUAUUGGACAAUGGGCGCAAGCCUGAUCCAGCCAUGCCGCGUGAGUGAUGACGGCCUUAGGGUUGUAAAGCUCUUUCGCUAGGGACGAUAAUGACGGUACCUAGACAAGAAGCCCCGGCUAACUUCGCGCCAGCACGCCGC